rnacentral:lncRNA from 1 species
GUCAGGCUGCUGGGUAUAUCUGUCUGGGUUGUGCGUCCGUGUGUAUGGGUAGGGGCUCCUGUCCAGUCGGUGAGUGGGUUUGUCCGGGUCGUGUGUCCGCCCCUGGGCCGCGUGCGUGCCGCCCCGCUAUUGCAGACGUUUGUGUCCCUGUGCUCGCCUCCCCCCGCGCACCAUUUUCUCGGCUCUCCUCAGACAGGCACACAAGAGGCAGAGCGGCGGCGGCGGCUUCCCGUCUCCCUCCCCUUCUCCUCAGAUGCCCUUUGCCGCUGCUGCUGCAGAUCAUGUAGAAAGGACAGAAAGUGAGCAGGGAGCGGGGGCUUUUGUCUAUUCCUCUCCUUGUGCUACUUGAGCGAAACUGCAGUCUCAAGACUUAACAGUCUAAAAAUG